rnacentral:rRNA from 1 species
AUUGAACGCUGGCGGCAGGCUUAACACAUGCAAGUCGAGCGGAGAGAGGUAGCUUGCUACUGAUCUUAGCGGCGGACGGGUGAGUAAUGCUUAGGAAUCUGCCUAUUAGUGGGGGACAACAUUUCGAAAGGAAUGCUAAUACCGCAUACGUCCUACGGGAGAAAGCAGGGGAUCUUCGGACCUUGCGCUAAUAGAUGAGCCUAAGUCGGAUUAGCUAGUUGGUGGGGUAAAGGCCUACCAAGGCGACGAUCUGUAGCGGGUCUGAGAGGAUGAUCCGCCACACUGGGACUGAGACACGGCCCAGACUCCUACGGGAGGCAGCAGUGGGGAAUAUUGGACAAUGGGCGCAAGCCUGAUCCAGCCAUGCCGCGUGUGUGAAGAAGGCCUUAUGGUUGUAAAGCACUUUAAGCGAGGAGGAGGCUACUUUAGUUAAUACCUAGAGAUAGUGGACGUUACUCGCAGAAUAAGCACCGGCUAACUCUGUGCCAGCCGCCGCCGUAACAC